GGAAACGGUCGCUAAUACCGCAUAACAUACUGGGAGGACAUCCUGCUGGUAUCAAAGAUUUAUCGCUCGAAGAUGGGCUCGCGUCCGAUUAGGUAGUUGGUGAGGUAACGGCUCACCAAGCCGACGAUCGGUAGCCGGACUGAGAGGUUGAACGGCCACAUUGGGACUGAGACACGGCCCAGACUCCUACGGGAGGCAGCAGUGGGGGAUAUUGCACAAUGGGGGAAACCCUGAUGCAGCGACGCCGCGUGUGGGAAGACGGUCCUCUGGAUUGUAAACCACUGUCCCCAGGGACGAAAAUGACGGUACCUGGGGAGGAAGCUCCGGCUAACUACGUGCCAGCAGCCGCGGUAAUACGUAGGGAGCGAGCGUUGUCCGGAAUUACUGGGUGUAAAGGGAGCGUAGGCGGGGAUGCAAGUUGGGUGUCAAAACUACCGGCUCAACUGGUAGUCGCACUCAAAACUGCAGCUCUUGAGUGAAGUAGAGGCAGGCGGAAUUCCUAGUGUAGCGGUGAAAUGCGUAGAUAUUAGGAGGAACACCAGUGGCGAAGGCGGCCUGCUGGGCUUUUACUGACGCUGAGGCUCGAAAGUGUGGGGAGCAAACAGGAUUAGAUACCCUGGUAGUCCACGCGGUAAACGAUGAGUGCUAGGUGU
rnacentral:rRNA from 1 species